rnacentral:rRNA from 1 species
AGCGGCGAACGGGUGAGGAAUGCAUGGGUAACCUACCCUCGAGUGGGGAAUAACUAGCCGAAAGGUUAGCUAAUACCGCAUACGAUUCCCGGACUGCGGUUCGGGAGGGAAAGCGAUACCGUGGGUAUCGCGCUCUUGGAUGGGCUCAUGUCCUAUCAGCUUGUUGGUGAGGUAAUGGCUCACCAAGGCUUCGACGGGUAGCUGGUCUGAGAGGACGAUCAGCCACACUGGCACUGCGACACGGGCCAGACUCCUACGGGAGGCAGCAGUAAGGAAUACUGCGCAAUGGACGAAAGUCUGACGCAGCGACGCCGCGUGGGGGAUGAAGGUCUUCGGAUUGUAAACCCCUUUCGGCAGGGAAGAUGGAACGGGUAACCGUUCGGACGGUACCUGCAGAAGCAGCCACGGCUAACUUCGUGCCAGCAGCCGCGGUAAUACGAAGGUGGCAAGCGUUGUUCGGAUUCACUGGGCGUACAGGGAGCGUAGGCGGUUGGGUAAGCCCUCCGUGAAAUCUCCGGGCCUAACCCGGAAAGUGCAGAGGGGACUGCUCGGCUAGAGGAUGGGAGAGGAGCGCGGAAUUCCCGGUGUAGCGGUGAGAUGCGUAGAGAUCGGGAGGAAGGCCGGUGGCGAAGGCGGCGCUCUGGAACAUUUCUGACGCUGAGGCUCGAAAGCGUGGGGAGCAAACAGGAUUAGAUACCCUGGUAGUCCACGCCUUAAACUAUGGAUACUAAG